rnacentral:tRNA from 1 species
AAAUUAUUAUAACCUUGCCAAGGUUGGGGUCGCGAGUUCGAGUCUCGUUUCCCGCUCCA